rnacentral:misc_RNA from 1 species
GAAAUGCGAUAAGUAGUGUGAAUUGCAGAAUUCAGUGAAUCAUCGAAUCUUUGAACGCACAUUGCGCCCCUUGGUAUUCCAUGGGGCAUGCCUGUUCGAGCGUCAUUUGUACCCUCAAGCUCUGCUUGGUGUUGGGUGUUUGUCCCCGUCUCCGCGCGUGGACUCGCCCCAAAGUGAUUGGCAGCCGGCGUACUGGUCCCGGAGCGCAGCACAUGUCGCGCAAACGAGUGCCUUGGUACGGCGGCGUCCAUAAGCCCCUCUCUCACGCUCUUGACCUCGGAUCAGGUAGGGAUACCCGCUGAACUUCAGC